UACGUAGGCAGCAAGCGUUGUUCGAAAUUACUGGGCGUAAAGAGUGUGUAGGCGGUGUUCUAAGUUUGUCGUGAAAUCUCCCGGCUUAACUGGGAGGGUGCGGCGAAAACUGGAAUGCUAGAGGAUGGGAGAGGUAAGCGGAAUUCCAGGUGUAGCGGUGAAAUGCGUAGAUAUCUGGAGGAACACCGGUGGCGAAGGCGGCAUCCUGGACCGGUAUUGACGCUGAGGCGCGAAAGCCAGGGGAGCAAACGGG
rnacentral:rRNA from 1 species